CUGAGCAGCGCCCCUCCCCCAGGGCUGUUCGCUGUCAUCCUCUUUUCUUCUCUGCUUCCUCCUCCCUUCAGCUUGACGUCUCCUCAAACGCUACCUGACAGACUGCCGCCAUCACCCCGCGAAUGAGGUGAAGAGUCAAAAAUAACCUUGAUGAGCUGUGGUGGAGUUUGCUGUUAUUUAUUCCUGGGAGUCAGCUGACUGCUCCUGAGCAUGUAUAGCACACCUGCUGCACUAUACAAGUGCCUUCCAUCAUGGAGCAUCACUCAAGAGGGAAAACGGUCAGCAGAGAAUAAAAGACGAAACAAACGAGUGGGACCAUAGCAACAGGAAGAGCAGAUAACACUGAGCUGGGAAUCCAAACUGGAUUUUAACAACAACAACAAAAAUGUUCAACGCUUCUUGCUAUGGUUUGCUCCCUUGAAGCUUUUGUUGAAAUUUGAUUGGCAGUUUGGGGGGUGGGGGUGGGGGACUUUAAGUGGUGAUUAGGAUUCCAAGAGGAAUGAAAACCUAUCUUGGAUCAGGUUGUAGUAGGGCAAGGUUACCCCAUAUGUUCUGACAGCCCCACCCCCAUCCACCCAAUUGCCCUUCUGCUUCUGGCCAUGAGGUGAGGCAACCGGAGGCCUUUGCUAGGAGCCCACUCUCAGGGGCCACCGGCUUAGCACUAAUGAAAUCAUGGCAGUCCCUCCCCUUAUGACCUCACGUAAUGUUAAUUACCUUUCGUGAACCCACUUCCCAACACCUUUAACAUGGUAAGCCGGCAUUUGCCCGGCUUCUUGCCUGCUCCCAUAGGGAGCUUCAUCAUAUCAAUAGGCCUCAUGGCAGCGCUCACUGAACGCCACGCCACAACCUGAGGUGUCCCAAACCCCAGAACUGUGAGUUAAAUAAGCUUCUUUAUGUCCCCCACACCCACUCCCAGCUGUCUCCUUCUAGCUGUGAAAUGGACGAGGGCACUGCUCUUACUAUUUUGUCUCUGGUAUACCAGGCUUAGGUUUUGUUUGGGAAGUGUUAGAAAUUAAACUCGAGAGUCUACUGCAGUUAGCCUUCUAAAGUUAAAUAAGACAGAAAAGAAAAAGAACAUGUAUUUUUAAAAGAUCUGAUUUUUUUUUGCAAUAAAAACCUUAUCUGACAACUCUUGCUACCCUGACACCUGAUAUAUACAUCAGGAUUUCUUUGUAAAUCAACUAUGAUGUAAAUCAACUGUAACAGUGCCACAGUCACUACACUUGCUGUGCAGGCCCGAGGGCCUUACUUUAAGCUCUAGUACUCAUGAACAAAAGUUGGGCCUGGUGGCACAGACUUGGAGUCCUAGGCCCAAGCAGGCAGAGGCAGGAGGAUUCCUAAGGCUUGCUAGUCGGCCAGUCUAGCUGAACCAGUGAAUUCAAGGUUCCCUAGGAGACUCUGCGGGCCGACUUUACAUAACAAAACGUAAAUACCCACCAGAGCAGCUAUUCUGUAUCCCUUCUCUUCCUUUCAAUUUAAAGUUCUUCCUUGAGAUUCAGUUCAAAUGUAUUUGCUGUGGUUUAAAUCUGUUUCUACAAAACUCAGGUACUACCACACAGAGGUCUUUCAAAGAUGAUUGGUCCAUCUGUGAUCCCCCUCACAAAUGAGAUUACUUUCCAUAAUAGAAGGGUUUGAUGGAGCAGGCUUAUCCCUGUUUGCCCUUCUGCCUUCCACCAUGGGAGAAUGAGGCAGCAUUCAAGGUAGCAUCUUGAGAUAUCGAGCAUCUCUCCCCCAGCUAAGGUGCCUGCCAGCAUCUUGAUAGCUGACUUCUCAGCGCCCAGGGCCAUGAGAAAGAAAUUUCCAUUCUAAAUAAAUUCUCCAGCCUAUGAUGUUUCAUCAUAGUGGACCAAAUGGACCAACACAAUAUCCUCAACUCCUGUUCAUUCCUGCCUGCUCUGUGGGAGGCACUAUGAGAAGUGAUUAAAAAACAAAAAACAAAACAAAACAGAAACCUAGAAAACACAAAGUAUUUCUUAGAACAUUACUUUUGAGGUAACAAGAUACUUCAAUAAAAUGCAACUGGGAAAUAAUUAGGACACUAUAGUAUAAACAGCAGGUGAUAAGAAAGAUUUAUGGCACAGAAAAGGGGUUUAUUUUGGCUUUCUUGAUAUGUAGACUUCUAACUCGAACAAGUAAAACAAAGCACUUUGAAAACAAACAAAUCAGGGCACUUAAUUAAUGAGGCUCAAGGUUUGAAUGUUGAACUGAAGACACUGACCUACUGAGAUAAAGAACUUGUUUGUUAAAAAUGGCUUAGUAAAUUAAAUAUUUGGGAAACAGUUGAUAAAGA